rnacentral:rRNA from 1 species
GCCUACAGCCAUACUACCCUGAACAAACCCAAUUCCAUCUGAUCUUGGAAGCUAAGCAGAGUUGAGCCUGGUUAGCACUUGGAUGGGAGACUACCUAGGGCUCUCAUCA